UGAGUACGAGAUGCUACGGCAUCGAAGCAGUCUAUGUCAUACUUCCAAGAAAAGCUUGCAAUGUCAUAAACAAAUAAUGCCUGUACCAUAACCGACACAGGUGGGUAGGUAGAGUAUACUAAGGGGCGCGAGAUAACUCUCUCUAAGGAACUCGGCAAAAUGACUCCGUAACUUCGGGAGAAGGAGUGCCUUAUUUUUAUAAGGUUGCAAUAACAAGAUCCAAGCAACUGUUUACCAAAAACACAGGUCUCCGCUAAGUCGUAAGACGAUGUAUGGGGGCUGACGCCUGCCCAGUGCCAGAAGGUUAAAGAAGUUGGUUAGCAUUAGCGAAGCUGAUAACUGAAGCCCUGGUGAACGGCGGCCGUAACGAUAACGGUCCUAAGGUAGCGAAAUUCCUUGUCGGGUAAGUUCCGACCCGCACGAAAGGCGUAAUGAUUUGGAUACUGUCUCGGAGAGGGGCUCGGUGAAAUAGACUUGUCUGUGAAGAUGCGGACUACCUGCACCUGGACAGAAAGACCCUAUGAAGCUUUACUGUAACUUGAGAUUGAAAUUGGACUUUAUUUGCGCAGUAAAGGUGGGAGACGUUGAAAAUAUUCUUGCGGGAAUAUUGGAGUCAUCAGUGAGAUACCACUCUUAUAAUGUUAGAUUUCUAACUUUGUAUCAUUAUCUGGUCAAAGAACAGUUUCAGGCGGGCAGUUUGACUGGGGCGGUCGCCUCCCAAACGGUAACGGAGGCGCACAAAGGUUUCCUCUGAACGUGUAGAAAUCGUAUCUAGAGUGUAAAGGCAUAAGGAAGCUUGACUGUGAGACCUACAAGUCGAGCAGGGACGAAAGUCGGUCUUAGUGAUCUGACGGUGCUGAGUGGAAAGGCCGUCACUCAACGGAUAAAAGUUACUCUAGGAUAACAGGCUGAUCUCCCCCAAGAGUUCACAUCGACGGGGAGGUUUGGCACCUUGAUGUCGGCUCAUCGCAUCCUGGGGCGGUAGUACGUCCCAAGGGUUGGGCUGUUCGCCCAUGAAAGCGGUACGCGAGCUGGGUUCAGAACGUCGUGAGACAGUUCGGUCCAUAUCCGGUGUAGGCGUUAGAAUAUUGAGAGGAGCCUUCUUUAGUACGAGAGGACCGAGAAGGACAUACCUCUGGUGUACCAGUUAUCGUGCCAACGGUAAACGCUGGGUAGCCAUGUAUGGAGAGGAUAACCGCUGAAAGCAUCUAAGUGGGAAGCCCACCUCAAGAUAAGUAUUCUC
rnacentral:rRNA from 1 species